rnacentral:rRNA from 1 species
UACGUAGGGUGCAGGCGUUAAUCGGAAUUACUGGGCGUAAAGCGCACGUAGGCGGAUUUGUAAGUCAGGGGUGAAAUCCCGGGGCUCAACCUCGGAACUGCCUUUGAUACUGCAAGUCUCGAGUCCGAUAGAGGUGAGUGGAAUUCCUAGUGUAGAGGUGAAAUUCGUAGAUAUUAGGAAGAACACCAGUGGCGAAGGCAGCCCCCUGGUAUAGAACUGACGCUGAGGCACGAAAGCGUGGGUAGCAAACAGG